rnacentral:lncRNA from 1 species
GUUUUCUGGCUUGGAAAGGUUGAAGGAGCAAUGACAGGUGUCCUGGGGCUCGAAUGACUGGCCGAGGCGGCAGAAGCUGGCCCGGUCGCUGUAGACUCUUGGACGCAGUAGCAGCGCUCGCUCAGCCUCUUCUGCCUCCCCCACGUCCACACAGAGAGAAAUCCAACCCUUGGCUGAGGCCUGAAAGAAGACCUGCAUUCACGCCGCGGAGGGGAGUGCUGCUCAGCUGUCAAAAGAACAAGCCCAGCAGAGGCAGGGUCAGAAGGUCCUUUCCUCUCCCUCCACCCUUUUGUUUCCGUUUCCUCUCCUCUUCUCCCCCUCCUUCCUCCAUGCCUUCUGUUUGUUUGUUUAUUUGUUUAUCUUUUGCUCUGUGUGUUUUGAGACAGGCUCUCCCUUUGUAGCCUAUGCACACCUGGAACUCCCUGUGUAGUCCAUGGAAACGCUUCUGAUUCGGCCUCCUAAAUUCUUGGGAAGAUGGACUGCUGGGGUGGGGCACUUGCUGCUAAGCCUGAAGACCUGAAAUCACUCUCCGGAACUCACGUGGUAGGAGAGAGAGAACCAACUCCUGAAAGUUGUCCUCUGACCGCCACAUGUAAUGGGGACACAGGCAACUUGUCUAGUAGGCCUAUGUAUACAGCUGAGUGUUUGGACCAAUCAUGGCCAUUUGUUUGGGCCAAACCCCCGUCUUGCCAAUUUUUUUUUUUUUUUUUUUGAGACAGGGUUUCUCUGUGUAGCCCUGGCUGUCCUGGAACUCAUUUUGUAGACCAGGCUGGUCUCGAACUCAGAAAUCCGCCUGCCUCUGCAUUCUGAGUGCUGGGAUUAAAGGCGUGUGCCACUACACCCGGCUCCAUCUUGCCUCUUGGCAUCAUGAAAUUCCUCUAGUAAGCCACCAGGGGGAGUGUUCCACCCCUGUCGCAGGUGGAAAUGGUUGUAGGGUCAUCUAGAGAUCAUCAAGGCUUGGUAUAGUGAAAAUUCUGAUACCUCCGGGAGCUUAGGCAAUUGGCUGCAGUCUUUGUGUAGUUACCUCUGUCAGUGUUCUAGAUUGCUGAUUCUGACACAGGAUGAUCUGAUGGCUGUGAGAUUUUUGCUCCAGGGAGUCAGGGAGAGCUGAUGUAGUCAUGCAAACUGUCCCAAGCCUAAUGUCUUUGCUAAGUAACAGGAAAAUGGUCACUGGUAGGAGUGUUCACAUAUACACACAUAGAACUUAUUAACAAUAAGAGUGAUUUUAAAAAAUGAUUUACGUAUUUAUGUUAUAUAUCUAUGAGCACACCAUUGCUGUCUUCAGACACACCAGAAGCGGGCAUCACAUCCCAUUACCAAUGGUUGUGAGCCACCAUGUGGUUGCUGGGAAUUGAACUCAUGACCCCAGUUAAGUGCUCUUAACUGCUGAGCUCUCUCUCCAGCCCACUAAGGAUGAUUUUUAAAACAGAUUGAAGAGAGUUCACCACCUGCUCAAUGCCCCAGAGAGUGCUGAGUGCUCCUUAUACGUGCCAGUAGGAAAUCAUCAAGACCUAUAGAAUAGCCGGGCGUGGUGGCGCACGCCUUUAAUCCCAGCACUCGGAGGCAGAGGCAGGCAGAUUUCUGAGUUCGAGGCCAGCCUGGUCUACAGAGUUCCAGGACAGCCAGAGCUAUACAGAGAAACUCUGUCUUGAAAAACAAAAAAAAUAAUAAAUAAAUAAAAUGUUUUUUAGGGGCUGGAGAGAUGGCUCAGCAGUUAAGAGCACUGACUGUUCUUCAAAAGGUCCCAAGUUCAAAUCCUAGCAACCACAUGGUGGCUCACAACCAUCCGUAAUGAGAUAUGAUGCUCUUUUCUGGGGUGUCUGAAGACAGCUACAGUGUACUUACCUAUAAUAAAUAAAUCCUAAAAUAUAUUUUUUAAAAUUUGUUUAUUAUUGUUUUGAGACAGGGUUUCACUGUGCAGCUCUGACUCUCCCAAAACACACUUUCCUAUGUUUUGUCUGAAUAUAUACAUGUGUACCAUGUAUGUGCUGCUGUCUGAAGUGGUCAGAAGAGGACAUUGGAUCUCCUGGAACCACCUAUGGAGUCAUAAACUGUUGGGAGCACCCAUGUAGGUGCCCUUUAUUUUUUGAGACAAGGUCUCAAACUUAUGUAGUCAAGGGUAACCAUAAACACUGGAAUCUUCCGUCUCCUGAGUGCUAUGAUUAUAAGCAAACGCUACCAAGCCAACUUUAAGAUUUAUUUGGGGGUGGUAUUGGGGGUGUUGUUUUAAGGCAGGGUUUCUCUAUGUAUCCAUGGCUGUCCUGGAACUCCCUCUGUAGGCCAGGCUGGCCUUGAACAAGUUUUUUGUUUGUUUGUUUGUUUUAGGCAAGAUAGCUUAGUGGGUAGAGAGGCUCCAACAGACUAUCAAAGUGUACUUAUGUGGGAGGCUAAUACAAUUACAAGGCUAAUACUAAGAUUGCCUCAAGUUUGAAGCCAGCCUUGGUUACAUAGUGAAACCCUGUCACAAGACAAAAUAAAAGUAAAUGUAAGUACUCAAAAAUCCAUGGUGCUGCUGGGUGUGGUGGCACACUCCUUUAAUCCCAGCACUUGGGAGGCAGAGGCAGGCGGAUUUCUGAGUUCGAGGCCAGCCUGGUCUACAAAGUGAGUUCUAGGACAGCCAGGGCUAUAACAGAGAAACCCUGUCUCAAAACAACAACAACAAAAAAAAAUCUAUGGUGCUUUCAGUAAUACCCAGGGAACACUCUGCUCUCACUUUGUAACAUCAAUCCACACUUCUCUUCAAAUGUGUAUUUAUUGCUAGAGUGAGGGAUCCAGUAAUCCCAACACUCAGGAGGCCAAGUCAGGAAGACCAGCAGUGCAAGGCCAGCCAGGCCUAUAUAGUGAGACCUGAUCUCAAAAAGAAAAUACAAUUAAAAACUUGAACAUUGUACUGGCUAGUUUUGUGUCAACUUGACACAGCUGGAGUUAUCACAGAGAAAGGAGCUUCAGUUGAGGAAAUGCCUCCAUGAGAUCCAACUGUAAGGCAUUUUCUCAAUUAGUGAUCAAGGGGGAAAGGCCCCUUGUGGGUGGGACCAUCUCUGGGCUGGUAGUCUUGGUUCUAUAAGAGAGCAGGCUGAGCAAGCCAGGGGAAGCAAGCCAGUAAAGAACAUCCCUCCAUGGCCUCUGCAUCAGCUCCUGCUUCCUGACCUGCUUGAGUUCCAGUCCUGACUUCCUUUGGUGAUGAACAUCGGUAUGGAAGUGUAAGCCAAAUAAAAAUAAACCCUUUCCUCCCC